rnacentral:lncRNA from 1 species
GGUUCCGUGUCCAUUUGAAGGUCUGGCUCUUUCUUUGGAAGGUGACCUGGUGCCGACUUCUGACCAGUGCAAUUUUAUAUGCUAAGGGUAUGGAUAUUCCUUUAUCUUGCCUGAGUGGCUGUAGUGAUGAUGAGACACAGGAUCACGCUUUGUUUAUGUACCCCAGGACUUGGUGUGUAUGGACUCUGACGGGACUCUCUCAGGUGGUGACUGUCUCUGCAGAGUCAACUCAAUUUUUUUUGGAGGAGCUUCAGUAGAGCUUGCAGAGUG